AGAGUUUGAUCCUGGCUCAGAAUGAACGUUGGCGGCGUGCCUAACACAUGCAAGUCGAGCGCGAAAGCUCCUUCGGGAGCGUGUAGAGCGGCGAACGGGUGAGUAACGCGUGGGAAUCUGCCUUUUAGUGAAGGAUACCUUCGAGAAAUUGAAGUUAAUACUGCAUACGUCCCUUCGGGGAGAAAGAUGGCCUCUUUGCUGUCGCUAGAAGAUGAGCCCGCGUACUAUUAGUUAGUUGGUGGGGUAAAGGCCUACCAAGACGAUGAUGGUUAGCCGGCCUGAGAGGGUGUACGGCCACAUUGGGACUGAGAUACGGCCCAGACUCCUACGGGAGGCAGCAGUGAGGAAUCUUGCGCAAUGGGGGAAACCCUGACGCAGCGACGCCGCGUGGAGGAUGAAGGUUUUAGGAUUGUAAACUCCUGUUAAGCGGGAAGAAAAGCUUUGGUAUAAUACACCAAAGUCAUGACGGUACCGCUAGAGAAAGCACCGGCUAACUUCGUGCCAGCAGCCGCGGUAAUACGAGGGGUGCUAACGUUAUUCGGAUUUAUUGGGCGUAAAGGGUGCGUAGGUGGCGAGGUAAGUCUGUCGUUAAAUUUUCCGGCCUAACUGGAAACAUGCGAUAGAUACUGCUUUGCUAGAGGGUGGAAGAGAGAAGUGGAAUUCUUGGAGUAGCGGUAAAAUGCGUAGAUCUCAAGAGGAACACCAAUGGCGAAGGCAGCUUCUUGGGCCAUCCUGACACUGAGGCACGAAAGCGUGGGGAGCAAACAGGAUUAGAUACCCUGGUAGUCCACGCUGUAAACAUGAUCACUGGAUGUCGGUUUUGCUUUGCAAGAUCGUUGUCGAGCUACGCGCUAAGUGAUCCCCUGGGGAUUCCGGUCGCAGACUAAAAUUUAAGGAUUG
rnacentral:rRNA from 1 species